rnacentral:rRNA from 1 species
GACGAACGCUGGCGGCGUGCUUAACACAUGCAAGUCGAACGGAAAGGCCCUGCUUUUGUGGGGUGCUCGAGUGGCGAACGGGUGAGUAACACGUGAGUAACCUGCCCUUGACUUUGGGAUAACUUCAGGAAACUGGGGCUAAUACCGGAUAGGAGCUCCUGCUGCAUGGGGGGGGUUGGAAAGUUUCGGCGGUUGGGGAUGGACUCGCGGCUUAUCAGCUUGUUGGUGGGGUAGUGGCUUACCAAGGCUUUGACGGGUAGCCGGCCUGAGAGGGUGACCGGCGACAUUGGGACUGAGAUACGGCGCAGACUCCUACGGGAGGCAGCAGUGGGGAAUAUUGCACAAUGGGCGGAAGCCUGAUGCGGCAACGCCGCGUGCGGGAUGACGGCCUUCGGGUUGUAAACCGCUUUCGCCUGUGACGAAGCGUGAGUGACGGUAAUGGGUAAAGAAGCACCGGCUAACUACGUG